CCAUGGAGGUUAUGCCUUAGUACGGCGAGUGAAGCGGCAAAAGCUCAAAUUUGAAAUCUGGCACCUUCGGUGUCCGAGUUGUAAUUUGAAGAAGGUAACUUUGGAGUUGGCUCUUGUCUAUGUUCCUUGGAACAGGACGUCACAGAGGGUGAGAAUCCCGUGCGAUGAGAUGCCCAAUUCUAUGUAAAGUGCUUUCGAAGAGUCGAGUUGUUUGGGAAUGCAGCUCUAAGUGGGUGGUAAAUUCCAUCUAAAGCUAAAUAUUGGCGAGAGACCGAUAGCGAACAAGUACAGUGAUGGAAAGAUGAAAAGAACUUUGAAAAGAGAGUGAAAAAGUACGUGAAAUUGUUGAAAGGGAAGGGCUUGAGAUCAGACUUGGUAUUUUGCGAUCCUUUCCUUCUUGGUUGGGUUCCUCGCAGCUUACUGGGCCAGCAUCGGUUUGGAUGGUAGGAUAAUGACUAAGGAAUGUGGCUCUACUUCGGUGGAGUGUUAUAGCCUUGGUUGAUACUGCCUGUCUAGACCGAGGACUGCGUCUUUUGACUAGGAUGUUGGCAUAAUGAUCUUAAGCCACCCGUCUUAAAAAAAGGAACAAAAAAAAAACUUUUCUUCCCCCUUUCUCCUCUGGUAAACGGGAUAACAAGGCUUGACGCAAUAGGAAAGUGAGAUGUGUAUAAG
rnacentral:rRNA from 1 species